GAUGAACGCUGGCGGCGUGCCUAAUACAUGCAAGUCGAACGGGAAUCUUCGGAUUCCAGUGGCGAACGGGUGAGGAAUACAUAGGUAACCUGCCCCUCCGAGGGGGACAACAGACGGAAACAUCUGCUAAGACCGCAUAGCCACAGGGAAGGCAUCUUCCCUGUGCCAAAUGUCCUUUCGGGGACAGCGGGGGGAUGGACCUAUGCCGCAUUAGCUGGUUGGCGGGGCAACGGCCCACCAAGGCGACGAUGCGUAGCCGGCCUGAGAGGGCGGACGGCCACACUGGGACUGAGACACGGCCCAGACUCCUACGGGAGGCAGCAGUAGGGAAUUUUCGGCAAUGGGGGAAACCCUGACCGAGCAACGCCGCGUGAACGAUGAAGGCCUUCGGGUCGUAAAGUUCUGUUGCGAAGGAAGAACGCCGGUGUCAGGAAAUGGGCGCCGGGUGACGGUAC
rnacentral:rRNA from 2 species